rnacentral:rRNA from 1 species
CCUACGGGGGGCAGCAGUGGGGAAUAUUGCGCAAUGGGGGGAACCCUGACGCAGCAACGCCGCGUGAAGGAAGAAAGUCUUCGGAUUGUAAACUUCUUUGAUGAGGGACGAAGGAAGUGACGGUACCUCAAAAACAAGCCACGGCUAACUACGUGCCAACAGCCGCGGUAAUACGUAGGUGGCGAGCGUUGUCCGGAAUUACUGGGUGUAAAGGGCGCGUAGGCGGGGAUGUAAGUCAGAUGUGAAAUACCAUGGCUCAACCGUGGGGCUGCAUCUGAAACUAUGUUUCUUGAGUGCUGGAGAGGAAAGCGGAAUUCCUAGUGUAGCGGUGAAAUGCGUAGAGAUUAGGAGGAACACCAGUGGCGAAGGCGGCUUUCUGGACAGUAACUGACGCUGAGGCGCGAAAGCGUGGGGAGCGAACAGGAUUAGAUACCCUUGUAGUC